ACAAGCGUGGAGUAUGUGGUUUAAUUCGACGCAACGCGAAGAACCUUUACCAGGACUUGACAUCCUCUGACGACUGUAGAGAUACAGUUCUCCGCCUUCGGGUGGACAGAGAGACAGGUGGUGCAUGGUUGUCGUCAGCUCGUGUCGUGAGAUGUUGGGUUAAGUCCCGCAACGAGCGCAACCCUUGUUUUUAGUUGCCAGCAGGUAAGGCUGGGCACUCUAGAGAUACUGCCGGUGACAAACCGGAGGAAGGUGGGGAUGACGUCAAAUCAUCAUGCCCUUUAUGUCCUGGGCUACACACGUACUACAAUGGCCUGUACAAAGGGUAGCGAAGCCGCGAGGUGAAGCCAAUCCCAAAAAGCAGGUCUCAGUUCGGAUUGUAGGCUGCAACUCGCCUACAUGAAGUCGGAAUCGCUAGUAAUCGCGGAUCAGCAUGCCGCGGUGAAUACGUUCCCGGGCCUU
rnacentral:rRNA from 1 species